UAGCCAGUGUUUACCUUCCAGUCCGUCCC
rnacentral:piRNA from 1 species